rnacentral:rRNA from 1 species
UACGUAGGGGGCAAGCGUUGUCCGGAUUUAUUGGGCGUAAAGAGCGUGUAGGCGGCCGAGCAGGUCCGUUGUGAAAACUGGAGGCUUAACCUCCAGACGUCGAUGGAAACCGCACGGCUAGAGUCCGGAAGAGGAGAGUGGAAUUCCUGGUGUAGCGGUGAAAUGCGCAGAUAUCAGGAAGAACACCUAUGGCGAAGGCAGCUCUCUGGGACGGUACUGACGCUGAGACGCGAAAGCGUGGGGAGCGAACAGG